rnacentral:rRNA from 1 species
UGGGGGAUAUUGCACAAUGGGCGAAAGCCUGAUGCAGCGACGCCGCGUGGGGGAUGAAGGCUUUCGCGUUGUAAACCUCUUUCGCUAUCGAACAAGGCCCGCUUAGGGUGGGUUGAGGGUAGGUGGAGAAGAAGCGCCGGCUAACUACGUGCCAGCAGCCGCGGUAAUACGUAGGGCGCGAGCGUUGUCCGGAAUUAUUGGGCGUAAAGGGCUUGUAGGCGGCUUGUUGCGCCUGCUGUGAAAACGCGGGGCUUAACUUCGUGCGUGCAGUGGGUACGGGCAGGCUUGAGUGUGGUAGGGGUGACUGGAAUUCCAGGUGUAGCGGUGGAAUGCGCAGAUAUCUGGAGGAACACCGAUGGCGAAGGCAGGUCACUGGGCCAUUACUGACGCUGAGGAGCGAAAGCAUGGGUAGCGAACAGG